GUGGGGAAUAUUGGGCAAUGGGCGAAAGCCUGACCCAGCAACGCCGCGUGAAGGAAGAAGGUCUUCGGAUCGUAAACUUCUAUCCUUGGUGAAGAUAAUGACGGUAGCCGAGAAGGAAGCCCCGGCUAACUACGUGCCAGCAGCCGCGGUAAUACGUAGGGGGCAAGCGUUGUCCGGAAUGAUUGGGCGUAAAGGGCGCGUAGGCGGCCUGGUAAGUCUGGAGUGAAAGUCCUGCUUUUAAGGUGGGAAUUGCUUUGGAUACUGUCGGGGUGGAGUGCAGGCGAGGUAAGUGGAAUUCCCGGUGUAGCGGUGAAAUGCGGAGAGAUCGGGAGGAACACCAGUGGCGAAGGCGACUUACUGGACUGUAACUGACGCUGAGGCGCGAAAGUGUGGGGAGCAAACAGGAUUAGAUACCCGUGUAGUCC
rnacentral:rRNA from 1 species